UGCUUCACUAGCUCAGUAGGCAGAGCGUCAGUCUCAUAAUCUGAAGGUCGAGAGUUCGAACCUCCCGUGGAGCAUC
rnacentral:tRNA from 1 species